rnacentral:siRNA from 1 species
ACUCAAUGGCUGCAAAGAUGUGUA